rnacentral:rRNA from 1 species
GACAGAGGUGCCAAGCGUUAGGCGGAAUCACUGGGCUUAAAGCGUGUGUAGGCGGGUCGUUAAGUACCUUGUGAAAUCCCCCGGCUCAACCGGGGAACGGCUGGGUAUACUGGCGAUCUUGAGCCACCUAGGGGCAGUCGGAACAAGUGGUGGAGCGGUGAAAUGCGUAGAUAUCACUUGGAACGCCAAUGGUGAAAACAGACUGCUGGGGGUGUGCUGACGCUGAGACACGAAAGCGUGGGGAGCAAACAGG